AGAGGGGCAAAACAAUCUGAACCGUCCGUUUCGCUAGCUACAGUAAAUUCCAAUCCCGCUUUUCACCACAGCCGUCGGAUGCGGUCAAUUUUCUUUUACAUGCCACAGCUCGUUCACGGUCUAUGACGUCUGGGCCCGUUUUCGUGCAGGACCGACAGCCAGAGGCAGCAGCGGGCGCUCCUCCGCGUAGCUCGUUUCAUUCGUUGUUCCGUGGAGUGGUGAAAGCCCUAGAUCGGGAUUGGCCUCUCCUCCCCCAAUCAUCGCCUCCUCUCUCUCCUCUCCAAUCAGACGCCUCGCUUCCGCACCGCAUCUGGAGGAACUGCGGUAGUCCGGCGGUGGCUGGCCGCCUCCCACUCGUUUCCUCUCUCGGAGGGUGAGCGGCGGACGGAGCCGGACGGGACGGUUGCGGCGGCAGGUGGGAGGAGGCACUGCAGGAGCGUCCCGCGGGAGGGAGGCUACACGGAGGGUGUUGGUGGUAAUCGAGUGGAGUCCACGGCAUCGGCGUGGCGCGCUACCACGAAAAAAUCGUCCGCCGCUACUGGGGCUCGAGAUCUCCGGCUGGAGCAUAGGAGGAGGAUGCACGAGCCCGGGAGUCAGCGACGCCUCGCAGUUCCAGCCGGCGGUAGGUGACACCGUCCUCCUCCUUCCUCGCGCUGGAAGGCGGCGGAACAGCCAUCUGUGGAGAUCGAGCGCGUGGAAGGCCGACGGCUCGGGAGUGGGUACGACAUCAUCUUUCUUCCAUGGUUUCGCCUUUCUCCUCUCUUCUGAUGUGGGUUGGCCGCAUGCCGUUCUUGCGCCGGUGAUGCUGUCGUUGAAGGCCUGGUUCAAGUGGAAGGAUUUAGGAGGGUUGGAGGUGAGCGCCCAUCUCCUUGGCUAUUGGUGACAUGUAGCUGAUAGGGAACACACUUGUUGGGCAGGUCGCCGGCUCAAUGCCAAGCUCGAGUUCAUGGUAGGUGACCUGGCUCUGCUGCUAAGCCCCCUCCUCUUUCUGGACUGGCAUGAUCUGUUCUCCUGUAUUUGGAUUUGAGGCUGAAGAAGCUACAGAAUCAGCUUUUAAGGAUGGAAAACGACUAUUGGACUACCAUCUGUACUAGGUUGUUAUUUGUCAGGUGAAAAGGUUCUUGUUUGUUUCUGUUCAGCUGAUGGCGAGGGUGCAAUUGAGAUGACAAGAACAUGCUUCUCAUUACAGAAUUUUGUGAUCACUUUGUACCUACAGAGAAAGCGACCCAGACAAAAAAUUGUCAGCUGCAUUUAUAUAGUAAUCGGUGAGUGAGGAUCGCUGUAUGGCGGCCGUGAUACAUCGGCGAAUUUCACCCGCGCUUUCUCUAUUUGCAGCACAACUUGGUAGAGGGUUUGCUGCAGCACUGCUGGACGUCGAGAUAGUUUUAGUUUGGCUGGUUCAGACCUGAUCCAUUGCCUCCUUCAUGCUCCAGACUAAGCUCUUCAUCAAGCAGAUAUGAUGCCAUUGGCCAGCAUGACGUUCCAGUACCUUAUGGGUGAGGAAAAGUGAUAUAAAGAUCUAUCCAGAUGAUGGCAUUCGAAGGAGGCCGGGUGUCCCAACCACAACGAGAGGAGGAGGAUGCCGUGCGGCGGGAUUGAGGCCAUUCCCCCUUUGAUUUCUUGAUCCCCAGUCUGCUUUAAUUUGGGUCCUGUUUUUAGGUUUGAUUGUUGGUGCUGUGGGUUGGUUACCACAUCAACAUGGUUGCUUCCUCGUGGGAACUAUCGAGCACCACCACGCCUCCCUCCCAUCAAGCACCACUAAGGCAGCAAGGUACAUCUCCCCAUUUUUUCUGCAGAUUUGUAUUUUUGGUAAGGUAAA